rnacentral:rRNA from 1 species
AAUAUUGGACAAUGGGGGCAACCCUGAUCCAGCCAUGCCGCGUGUGUGAAGAAGGUCUUCGGAUUGUAAAGCACUUUAAGUUGGGAGGUAGGGCUUUAGGCUAAUACCCUGAAGUUUUGUCGUUACCAACAUAUUACGCACCGGCUAACUCUGUGUCAGCAGCCGCGGUAAUACAGAGGGUGCAAGCGUUAAUCGGAAUUAUUGGGCGUAAAGCGCGAGUAGGUUGUUAAGUAAGAUGGGUGUGAAAUCCCCGGGCUUAACCUGGGAACUGCUUUCAUAACUGCUGAGCUAGAGUACGGUAGAGGGUAGUGGAAUUUCCAGUGUAGCGGUGAAAUGAGUAGAUAUAGGAAGGAACACCAGUGGCGAAGGCGACUACCUGGACUGAUACUGACACUGAGGUGCGAAAGCGUGGGGAGCAAAC